CCUACGGGAGGCAGCAGUGGGGAAUAUUGCACAAUGGGGGAAACCCUGAUGCAGCGACGCCGCGUGAGUGAAGAAGUAUUUCGGUAUGUAAAGCUCUAUCAGCAGGGAAGAAAAUGACGGUAACUGAUUAAGAAGCCCCGGCUAACUACGUGCCAGCAGCCGCGGGAAUACGUAGGGGGCAAGCGUUAUCCGGAUUUACUGGGUGUAAAGGGAGCGUAGACGGCAGCACAAGUCUGGAGUGAAAUGCCGGGGCUUAACCCCGGAACUGCUUUGGAAACUGUGCAGCUAGAGUGCAGGAGAGGGAAGUGGAACUCCUAGUGUAGCGGUGGAAUGCGUAGAUAUUAGGAGGAACACCAGUGGCGAAGGCGGCUUACUGGACUGUAACUGACGUUGAGGCUCGAAAGCGUGGGGAGCAAACAGGAUUAGAUACCCCAGUAGUC
rnacentral:rRNA from 1 species